rnacentral:rRNA from 1 species
CAAAACCUAUUUAAAAUGGCGGCAUUUCAUCUUAUUAGAGGAACCUGUUUUAUAAUCGAUAAUCCACGAUAAUUUUCACUUCGAAUAAAAACUUAUAUACCGUCAUCAAAAGAACAAAUAUAACAAUAUCAUUCUCAAUAAUAACUAAAAAGUUAGGUCAAGGUGUAGUUUAUUUUGAAGAAAGUAAUGGGUUACUAUAAGAAUUACUCAAGAAUUUUUAUAUUAAAAUAUUUUAUGAAAAAGGAUUUAAAAGUAAUAGUAAAAUAUUAUUUUACUAUG